UAUAUAUAUAAUAAAUAUGUCCCCCCCACUUCUAAAACCAAAGUUGCACCCCUGUCUUCAGCAAUACAGAUUGAAUCCAGCCUUUACCGCCUUACACUAUAAAGGUAGCACUCUCCUAGCCACGCUAACCUUGCCCUCGUGUGGGUGCUAACACGCUAGCAAGCAGCUAAACAGUGCUACAUAUCAACAGCCAUUGUCAGCCAAUCCAGUAGGGGUUGGAAGCUAUGGUGAGCUUCAAUUGGUCACUCACGUUGCGUUAUCGCGGAGGAUUUGAAUAAAAUGUAACUUUAGUUCCGCCCUGUUCAGCUCCCUCGCCCAUGCUCGCAUCGCUCAAUGGUCCCCUGCCCACUCUGCUUCUCUUGCUUUCCUUCCAUUGAAAGUGAAUGGCUUCGAUGUUUCACCGCGCAAUGCCGCUUCCUGGUGUAAACUCACCGUUAGUGUCACUUCUUAUUUAUCAUUCGUGGCUAAUCCCUUUUAAUCUCUGGAAACGCUUUCCUUGCUGGUCCAGUUUAAACACCAAGAUACGUCCUCAUAUAUCUCAGUGGCGCAGCCAAUGAGGAUCUUAAUAGAUACUAAAUACUCCCGGAAUUAAAGAUGCUGGUGUUGCUGGACUCCUUAAUGGAAAAGAAAGACCACGAAGAUGACCUUACAUACCAGUAAGGAGGAAGGAUCUUGGUUUGUGUUUAGCCCUCUCCCUUUCCAGAUUCUUUAGGCUGGACCAGAUGCAGACGAGGGCCAUUCCUUUGCCAUGCUGGUGCUACAGGGGACUGUCUGUGAUGUCUCAAUCGGUGGUGUCUGGCUCCACCGUGGGAAGCAGAUGACUUUGAGCUGUAGGACCAGUGGCUGGAGGAUGUGCAAGCAAGUGAUGGCAGAUGGAAGGACCAUCAAAGCAAGGGAUUGAAAAGGCAUUGCGGAGGACCAGAGGAUCAAAGCCCUGGUCUAUUGACCAAUCCUUUCUAACACGAUGUCGAGUACAAAUCUAUUAUUGAGAUGAGUAGCUCAGCCAAUAAAAGUAAAAUCACUAUUAACAAUUCGUCCUGUUCAUAGCAGUGAAAAUGUUUACAUUAUUUGUUAUAAACAGAUUGUUUUUGAUUCAAUUCUGUCACAUACAGUAUUAGUCAUGUUUAUGGAAAUGCAAAAAGGUUAGUGCAAUCAGGACUAUGUGUGACCUGUGGAUUUGCUGCCAAGUUUAUACUACACUUAUGUGGGAAAUAAAGUACUGUUUUGAUCCUGAACUUCUGUUCCUUAUCUCCUCGUGCUUUUGAAUGGCAUCAUACAAUUAGGAUACCUCCUUUUAACCACUUCAAGUGUUAUUGGAUCGGCUGUUGGCAGUUAUGAAUGGUCAGCAGCAACACUUAGAUUUCAUCAUGUUCAGCGGAUAUUCUCAUGCUUCCCAAGUGACAGCAAAUCAGGGCAUCUUCAGUCCUCUCAGCAAGGAUCUAUGAAUCAAGUUUCCACCAACUUAUAGUCAUUGAAUCAUUGGAAUCACGUGUGAUGAAUGUGCUUUUGUGCUUGUGUUUAAAUGUCAAGCUCAG
rnacentral:lncRNA from 1 species